AUGCGGCGUAGCGCGACGUCGCCGGCUCUAUUGCCGGCGAAGCCAGCCGACGUCGACGGGCGGCCCUCCCAGGGCCUGGCCGCUCCCGCUCCCUCUCUCUUGCCGCGGAUCAUGACUUCGCCGAAUCCGUUGUGCGAGACGUCGACGGCUGGCACGGCGCCCUCCAAGCCGCCGCUCGCCCCUGCUCUCGCACGCCGGAUAGCGUCGUCGCCUUUGUUGACGGCAGGCUCGGCAAAUGACACGGCUUCUUUGAUCACCACUACGUCGACAUCAGCAGCCAGAGCUACCCAACAUACACAACCCCACGCCGCGGCGUUCCGGCCGGCAGAGCUGAGUAAUCCGGUGUGCCAGGCGGCUCCAGUAUUCUUGGUGCCAGUAAUGCCGCAGGUCAUAAUCCACCGGCCGAAGAUCAUCCUCGUACCCGUGUUCAAUUCAUUCUAA
rnacentral:rRNA from 1 species